rnacentral:rRNA from 1 species
GCGGCGUGCCUAAUACAUGCAAGUCGAACGCACUGACGUCGACAGAAGGUGCUUGCACUGGAAGUUGAUUGACGUGAGUGGCGGACGGGUGAGUAACACGUGGGUAACCUGCCCUUAAGCGGGGGAUAACAUUUGGAAACAGAUGCUAAUACCGCAUAAAAGUUGAGAUCACAUGGUCUUAAUUUGAAAGACGGCCUUUGGCUGUCACUUAAGGAUGGACCCGCGGCGUAUUAGCUAGUUGGUGAGAUAAUAGCCCACCAAGGCGAUGAUACGUAGCCGACCUGAGAGGGUAAUCGGCCACAUUGGGACUGAGACACGGCCCAAACUCCUACGGGAGGCAGCAGUAGGGAAUCUUCCACAAUGGACGAAAGUCUGAUGGAGCAACGCCGCGUGAGUGAAGAAGGUUUUCGGAUCGUAAAACUCUGUUGUUGGAGAAGAACAGGGACUAGAGUAACUGUUAGUCCUUUGACGGUAUCCAACCAGAAAGCCACGGCUAACUACGUGCCAGCAGCCGCGGUAAUACGUAGGUGGCAAGCGUUGUCCGGAUUUAUUGGGCGUAAAGCGAGCGCAGGCGGUUUCUUAAGUCUGAUGUGAAAGCCUUCGGCUUAACCGAAGAAGUGCAUCAGAUACUGGGAAACUUGAGUGCAGAAGAGGGAAGUGGAACUCCAUGUGUAGCGGUGAAAUGCGUAGAUAUAUGGAAGAACACCAGUGGCGAAGGCGGCUUUCUGGUCUGUAACUGACGCUGAGGCUCGAAAGUAUGGGGAGCGAACAGGAUUAGAUACCCUGGUAGUCCAUACCGUAAACGAUGAAUGCUAAGUGUUGGAGGGUUUCCGCCCUUCAGUGCUGCAGCUAACGCAUUAAGCAUUCCGCCUGGGGAGUACGACCGCAAGGUUGAAACUCAAAGGAAUUGACGGGGGCCCGCACAAGCGGUGGAGCAUGUGGUUUAAUUCGAAGCUACGCGAAGAACCUUACCAGGUCUUGACAUCUAGCGCCAAUCCUAGAGAUAGGACGUUCCCUUCGGGGACGCUAAGACAGGUGGUGCAUGGUUGUCGUCAGCUCGUGUCGUGAGAUGUUGGGUUAAGUCCCGCAACGAGCGCAACCCUUAUGAUUAGUUGCCAGCAUUUAGUUGGGCACUCUAAUCAGACUGCCGGUGACAAACCGGAGGAAGGUGGGGA